GAUGAACGCUAGCGGCAGGCUUAACACAUGCAAGUCGAGGGGCAGCAUGAGGGUUAGCAAUAACCCUUGAUGGCGACCGGCGCAAGGGUGCGUAACGCGUGAGCAACUUGCCCGUUUCAGGGGGAUAACCGGUGGAAACGCCGACUAAUACCCCAUGGUGAUGGUUUGAGGCAUCUCUUUCCAUCUAAAGAAUUUCGGAAACGGAUAGGCUCGCGUGACAUUAGCUAGAUGGCGGGGUAACGGCCCACCAUGGCGACGAUGUCUAGGGGUUCUGAGAGGAAGGUCCCCCCACACUGGAACUGAGACACGGUCCAGACUCCUACGGGAGGCAGCAGUGAGGAAUAUUGGUCAAUGGGCGGAAGCCUGAACCAGCCAAGUAGCGUGAAGGAUUACAGCCCUACGGGUUUAAACUUCUUUUAUGCGAGAGUAAUGUGCGCUACGUGUAGCGUAUUGCAAGUAUCGCAUGAAUAAGCAUCGGCUAACUCCGUGCCAGCA
rnacentral:rRNA from 1 species